AACCUGCCCAAGAGAUCGGGAUAACACCUGGAGACAGAUGCUAAUACCGGAUAACAACAGAUGAUGCCUAUCAACUGUUUAAAAGAUGGUUCUGCUACCACUCUUGGAUGGACCUGCGGUGCAUUAGCUAGUUGGUAGGGUAACGGCCUACCAAGGCGAUGAUGCAUAGCCGAGUUGAGAGACUGAUCGGCCACAUUGGGACUGAGACACGGCCCAAACUCCUACGGGAGGCAGCAGAA
rnacentral:rRNA from 1 species